UAUGUCAAUCGUGCCGAAAACUUUCUUCUGGCUCUACAGCCUUAUUGCUCUUUUUUCCUCAAUUCAGGCAAAACAUUGUCCGGAAAACUUCGCAGCUGUGGGAGAGAAAUGUUAUCAUGUGUUUUUGGAUAAGGUGACUUGGCAUGCGGCCGAUCGGAGAUGUCGCUCACUAGGAUCCAAUCUAUUUGUGCUAAGCGAUCAGAAAGAUAUGGAUUUGUUGACACAGUAUCUUCUGGAUGUUGGAGUGCCGUUUGCUAAUAGUUGGCGAGACACCGUCUGGACAGGCAUUACUGCGUUAGGGACAAACCGAAAUUUCGUAUUGGCAAAGAAUGGAAAGGAAAUACCAUUUACGAAAUGGUGUCCUAGACAACCAGACAAUAGCGCAUCCCCAGAAGACUGCAUCGGCUAUGCUAAGUUCCCCACCUUUGGCUAUCAUGACGUCACAUGCACCUUUCUAUACCCGUUUGUUUGCGAAAUCGAUGCCGUAGAGGAUUAUGUAUGUUUUAAAAAAGAUACUUCACUAUUGCUUAAAACUCUACCAAACUAAACAGAAGUUCAGUUGCAAGCAAUCUUAACAAUAACAAGUAAAAAAGCUAAAGUCGGGUGUCCCGACUUUGAAAUACUCUGUACAUAUGUUUACUAUAAUUAUAGAAAAUAAAAAAAAUUGCAUCUGUGUGAGUGUA